AUCCGGGGUGAGGACAGUGUCUGGUGGGUAGUUUGACUGGGGCGGUCUCCUCCCAAAGAGUAACGGAGGAGCACGAAGGUUAGCUAAUCACGGUCGGACAUCGUGAGGUUAGUGCAAAGGCAUAAGCUAGCUUGACUGCGAGAGUGACGGCUCGAGCAGGUACGAAAGUAGGUCUUAGUGAUCCGGUGGUUCUGAAUGGAAGGGCCAUCGCUCAACGGAUAAAAGGUACUCCGGGGAUAACAGGCUGAUACCGCCCAAGAGUUCAUAUCGACGGCGGUGUUUGGCACCUCGAUGUCGGCUCAUCACAUCCUGGGGCUGAAGUAGGUCCCAAGGGUAUGGCUGUUCGCCAUUUAAAGUGGUACGCGAGCUGGGUUUAGAACGUCGUGAGACAGUUCGGUCCCUAUCUGCCGUGGGCGUUGGAAGAUUGAGAGGGGUUGCUCCUAGUACGAGAGGACCGGAGUGAACGCACCACUGGUGUUCGGGUUGUCAUGCCAAUGGCAUUGCCCGGUAGCUAAGUGCGGAAAAGAUAAGCGCUGAAAGCAUCUAAGCGCGAAACUUGCCUCAAGAUGAGUCUUCCCUGGGCCUUUAAGGCCCCUGAAGGAACGUUUAAGACUAAGACGUUGAUAGGCUGGGUGUGUAAGUGCAGCGAUGCAUUGAGCUAACCAGUACUAAUGAUCCGUGAGGCUUAACCUU
rnacentral:rRNA from 1 species